AGUUGUGUCCCGAUGACAGCGGGAGGACAUUAAAAGAAAUAAUGAUUGGCGACGGCGUUACUAAACAUUUAGCAAGGAUGGAUCCAAUGAAGUCCACAAACCUGAAAGGUCUUUUAGAUCUUUUCAUGGACUCUGUCUGACUAGUGUAAAAUUUUACCUGGUUGUAACACUCCGCCCAGCGAAGAUGGCCAUGUGGAACCAGACAUCGAAAGGUCAGAGACGGCGAGCAACUAGAGGAACAUCUUUUUGCUGAAGACUCUCGAGAGUCUGACCAGUAGAUGGCAGUUUUAUCUAUGGAUGUGUGGUGUGGGUGUGUGUUAUCUGUGGAUCUGGAGUCAUCGCUGGAGUCAUCGCCGGAUUCAGGUAAGGAAAACUUGGCAAAAUCCGACCUCCACUCGUAACUUUGUUUUUGCAAUUCAUCUCUUCGAUAGAUUUUGGAAUUUAUUUAUUUAUAAUUUUUGUUAAUUCUCCUGAGCAACUGUAUUUCAGAGACACAACGUUAUUACACUUCAUUUUUUGACGGAGUACAAGAGAAAUUUUUUCCCCCCAAAUUCAUGUGUUUAAACGAUGAUUUUUUAAUUGAACUGAAUGUUAUCAUUGGUAUAAAACUGCUUGAACAAUUAAACUUCCUAAAAAGUAUUAAAAAACAAAGUUACAUUAUUAAACAGCGCUACAGGGGGAAAACCCAAUUCAUGUGUGUUCUCAUGAUUUUUUUAAUGAACUGAAUGGUUAUAAUUUUUCAGUUCCAAAACUGCAAAAUUAUUGGGACAUUUUCUAAAAGUAACGAAAAACAAGGUUACAUUAUUAAAAGAGCGCUAUAGUGGAGGUCGGAAAACGCAGGUUGACCUUAACGUGUAAAAGAGGAGGUGUGAGAAGUCAGCGAAGGGUAAGAGGAGAUCUAACCCGCUCUCUUGCAGAGUCCAACCCCCGUUGUGCCCCCGCCCCAAUGUUCGCCGAUCUUGUUGAUGUGUCCUUGCCAGUAGAGAUUUCAAGGUGACCUCAUCAGAGUUUCCACGGCAUUUCUUAAUUUGCAUAUUGGUCGAAGCCGAUGAUGCUUGAUAGUUUGGAGACUAGUCUUACUGGAAAUUUCUGUUGGGUUGAUACAUCAAGUCAUCAGUUGUUAUGUUUAUUUAAAAUUGUUGUGAUUUUAUAUUAAAAAUAGCGCAAUGCUUAUACAAAACUUAGGAACAGGUCAAUUUAAUUAUGUCUUUAGAAUUAGGGCAAUAAAACAACCCUCCCCAAACCCACCAAAUAUCUUAGAGGUAACCAUGUCUUUAGAAGGGCUAUAGCUCUGGGCUAUUAAACAACCCCUCCCCAAACCCACCAAAUGUCUUAGAGGUAACCAUGUCUUUAGAAGGGCUAUAGCCCUGGGCAAUAAAACAACUCCUCCCAAAACCCACCAAAUGUCUUAGAGGUAACCAUGUCUUUAGAAGGGCUAUAGCCCUGGGCUACAAAACAACCCCUCCCCAAACCCACCAAAUGUCUUAGAGGUAACCAUGUCUUUAGAAGGGCUAUAGCCCUGGGCAAUAAAACAACUCCUCCCAAAACCCACCAAAUGUCUUAGAGGUAACCAUGUCUUUAGAAGGGCUAUAGCCCUGGGCUACAAAACAACCCCUCCCCAAACCCACCAAAUGUCUUAGAGGUAACCAUGUCUUUAGAAGGGCUAUAGCCCUGGGCAAUAAAACAACUCCUCCCAAAACCCACCAAAUGUCUUAGAGGUAACCAUGUCUUUAGAAGAGCUAUAGCCCUGGGAAAUAAAACAACCCCUCCCAAAACCCACCAAAUGUCUUAAAGGUAACCAUGUCUUUAGAAGGGCUAUAGCCCUGGAAAAUAAAACAACCUCUCCCAAAAUUAACCCACCAAAUGUCUUAGAUGUAACCAUAAAGUGUCUUUAGAGCAAUACCCCAGCCCCACCCCCCCUCCCAAUGUCUUAGAGGUAACCAUAAAGUCAACAAUUGUCAGUCCCAUUUUGAUUAGUGUUUGAUUUUGGAGUAGUAAAUAGACAAUUUAGACCAGAGCUAAAUUAAUAUUUACCAUCCGAAUAUCAGCAUAACAUCAAUUCUGACAAUAAAUAAACAACAUGUCUCUGACCAUUGCCCAUUAAACAAAGAUUCAAAUGAUAAUUUAGGAGGGGAGACCUGUUACAAAUACAAACAAGUUGAAGCUCUUUUCAAAAAUACAAAAUGCAAAAAGAAUAAGAAAAAUGCGUAAAAAAUAAGCAAAAUGCAAAAAACUUCUCUAAGCUAUUUAUUUGCCAGCGCUGCGAUAAAGACACAGAAAGAAGAAUGAAGAAAAAGAAGAAGAAAGAGAAAGAGAAAAAAAGGCUGAAGAAGAAGAAAAAGGAGCAGAUCAUCCAAGGGGGAAAAGACACCACCAAUGUUUGGGUUUGUAUGGGUGGUAACCCAGUGUACUGUAGGCCUAGAGUAUUGAACAAAUGUGCCUUUUGAAAAAAAAGUAGAGGACUAAUGCUCUCUUUCAGCACGAUCAUUGGCUAUUGGUAAAGUAUAAAAAGAUAUGACUGUUGUAAGUCUUAGUCUUGAUUCUAAGAUACUCAAUCUUGAAGCAAGAUUAAGAGCUACCCAGUCAUCAGUAAAGCCACAACUUGAGAAGACUCUCCCUUUGAUGUCCCUUGAGUGACUGGAUGUGAGGUCGGGUAUUUGCAGCAAAGGUUAAGUAUCCAGGUCUAACCAGUAUUUUUUUACAGCGAAUAACAAACGUUUUUUUACAGCGAAUAACACACGUUUUUUUACAGCGACUAACAAGCGUUUCUUUUCACAGUGACUAACAAGCCCUGUUUAAACAAGCGUUUCUUUUCACAGCGACUAACAAGCGUGUCUUUUACAGCGAUUAACAAGCGUUUCUUUUACAGCGACUAACAAGCGUUUCUUUCGCAGUGACUAACAAGCCCUGUUUAAACAAGCAUUUCUUUCACAGCGAUUAACAAGCGUUUCUUUCACAGCAAUUAUUAAGCGUUUCUUUCACAGCGACUAACGAGCAUUUCUUUCACAGC